GAUUUACUCAUUAUUUCAUCAUGGACAACAGGCAGUGUAGCUACAGCUUUCAAUAACAGUGUUGUCCUGAAAACAGAUGCUGGUAUCUAUCGACACAGCUCUGUCUUCUGUGGCAAAAGCAGUCUGGACUGGUUGAAGCCAAGUGGAAAGGAUUUUUUUGGAAGUGUUUCAGUCUGCCGUGAAUCAUCAUAAUCCAUACACAGCCACCAGUACAAGGAGAUGAUUGAGGGUGAACAAGUAACACUUCAGCUUCAAUUGCCUGGAGCCUGGUGUUGUAGUGGCCAAGGAGCUUUCACUCAGAUGGACCCAGAUUUCAGCUGCUGUGCAAUGUUGACGUCCUUCCUCCCAGAGAUGUGAAAGCAUCUCCCGGACUUAACACAACCCGGCAAACAUAUAUUUUUGACAAGAUCAGGGCCCCUCAGCUUUUAACAAUGUCUGUGAUUGCUGGCUGGUCUAUUUAUGAAGGCUUGUUAACAAAUAUCCUACAAACACAGAAAAUGGAGAAAAAAAGGAAUCGCAAGCCGAACUGGACUGAGGAGCAAGGUUUGUUGCUGGCCCAGUUGGUGAACGAACAUAAAGGUAUGUUACGAGGAAAAUUUGGCCCAACUGUCACUAGCCAAGGCAAGAGGCGCGCCUGGGACACAAUAUCCCAAACAAUCAAUGCCUCUUUUCCACUGGUGGUGCGGACAGGCGACGAUUGUGAGAAAAGGUGGUAUGUGCUGCAGUCCAAGGCAAAAGAUGAGAUUGCAGCACACAAGCGGGAAUCCUCACUCACAGGGGGUGGACCACCUGCAAAGCGGCUGUCCCAGGUGGCCGACACUGUCUUUCAAGUCCUGGGACACUCUGAGGUCAGUGUCACCGGGCUGCCAACAGGCAUUGACACGUCAAUGAUGCAGGCCCUUGAAAUGCAGCAAAGCAUGGAGCCAUCACAAGAACCGGGCCCAUCAAGUUUGCCGCCUGAACCAUCUGCAGCUGCUACUCAGGAUAGCCCGGCGGAUCAAACACCAUUCCCAUCCGCAGCACCUGCUCCGUCAGCAUCCCUGCAGGAGAGAAGAUUGCAACUCACAAUUGAUGUGUUUGAACAACAAAAAAAAGUCCUUUCCCUUCAGGAGGAGUACUACCGCCUUAAAAUUGAACACCUAAAAAAUAAACCAUUUAGAGAUUG